rnacentral:rRNA from 1 species
UACGAAGGGGGCUAGCGUUGCUCGGAAUCACUGGGCGUAAAGCGCACGUAGGCGGCUUUUUAAGUCAGGGGUGAAAUCCUGGAGCUCAACUCCAGAACUGCCUUUGAUACUGAGAGCUUGAGUCCGGGAGAGGUGAGUGGAACUGCGAGUGUAGAGGUGAAAUUCGUAGAUAUUCGCAAGAACACCAGUGGCGAAGGCGGCUCACUGGCCCGGUACUGACGCUGAGGCGCGAAAGCGUGGGGAGCAAACAGG